UCCCUUGUUGUCCAGUGGUUAAGAUUUUGUGCUGCCAAUGCAAAGGGCCCAGGUUUGAUCCCUGGCUGGGGAA